rnacentral:rRNA from 1 species
UACGUAGGGUGCGAGCGUUGUCCGGAAUUAUUGGGCGUAAAGGGCUCGUAGGCGGUUUGUCGCGUCGGGAGUGAAAACUCAGGGCUUAACCCUGAGCCUGCUUCCGAUACGGGCAGACUAGAGGUAUGCAGGGGAGAACGGAAUUCCUGGUGUAGCGGUGAAAUGCGCAGAUAUCAGGAGGAACACCGGUGGCGAAGGCGGUUCUCUGGUCGACCUCUGACGCUGAGACGCGAAAGCGUGGGGAGCGAACGGG